ensembl:ncRNA F23H12.17 ncRNA
GUGGUCUGAAGUGUGAACAUCGCGUGAGGAACACCGAGAUGAAGAGAAAAAGAGCCUCUGGGUAAAUGACAGGGUAUCUUGACGUCCCUGCACCUGGCGAAUCGAGACGGAGACCUCGAAAUGAAAUAAGAAGAGUGGAAGGGAGUGAUUUCAUUAGAAGUGUUCAUCCGAGCAGAAAUUUUCUAGAUCAAACGAUU